rnacentral:rRNA from 1 species
CCUGACGGUAGUCGUAUGCUCGUCUCCGAGACUAAGCCAUGCAAGUCCAAGUACACGUCCUUGAACGACGGAAACUGCGAACGGCUCAGUUUAAAUCAAGUUGCGAUCUACUCGGCGUUCCGCGCCGCCGGAUAACCGUAGUAAUUCUAGGGCUAAUACGUGCGAAGCGCCCGAAGCCGCGAGGCGACGGGCGUUCUCGCCGGAUGUAGGAACCGACCCGGGGACCGCCGGGGCAACCCCGGCGCCCCCCGAGACGGGGCGAACCACGGUGAAAUGACGGAUCGUCGGCCCCGCGCCGGCGACUCGCCGAAUGAGUUUCUGACCUAUCAACUUCGAGACGGCGGGGUAGAGGCCCGCCGCGGUAACGACGGGUAACGGGGAAUCAGGGUUCGAUUUCCGGAGAGGGGUAGUCCCCGUAGAAACGGCUACCACUUCC